CCAAAGUACAGCGAGCACUCAACUUAUCGAGACAUCAUGCCCUCCUCUUUAUGUUGUGAUUCAUCCGUACUCUGAAAACAAUUGUAACAGUUUUAUUGAGUAUUAUCGAACAUUUUUGUAUUACUAUGAAGACUUCAAAAACAAAAAGAAAUGGAAAAAGUUGAGGCCAAUAUGCAAAUGCUAGGCUUUGACUUCUAAAUGACACCGGAAUUGGACGUUACUGAAGAUGUCGGCACCUUGAACCUCAAUUCUUUUGGAGAUGUUGACAAAAGAGUUCUGAAACUGCGGAGCUACAGCAAAUUUUUUUAGCGGUACUCAAACAUGUGGUCACGGCAUGUCUCCUCGCCUUUGGGUGGUAGCCAGCCGCGUUUAGGGUGGCAAAGGUAACCAGGUGGUGGCUCUUUCGCUAAUAACUCUUCCACUUCGGGCAAUUUUAUAUCGCAC